UUGUAGCUCAGUGGCUAGAGCAUAUGACUACGGAUCAUGGAGUCGGGGGUUCAAGUCCCU
rnacentral:tRNA from 1 species